AUUGAACGCUGGCGGAAUGCUUUACACAUGCAAGUCGAACGGCAGCACGGGGGCAGCCCUGGUGGCGAGUGGCGAACGGGUGAGUAAUACAUCGGAACGUGCCCGGUCGUGGGGGAUAACGUAGCGAAAGUUACGCUAAUACCGCAUACGAUCUGAGGAUGAAAGCGGGGGACCUUCGGGCCUCGCGCGAUCGGAGCGGCCGAUGUCGGAUUAGGUAGUUGGUGGGGUAAAGGCCUACCAAGCCGACGAUCUGUAGCUGGUCUGAGAGGACGACCAGCCACACUGGGACUGAGACACGGCCCAGACUACUACGGGAGGCAGCAGUGGGGAAUUUGGGACAAUGGGCGCAAGCCUGAUACAGCCAGUCCGCGUGCAGGACGAAGGCCUUCGGGUUGUAAACUGCUUUUGUACGGAACGAAAAGGCUCUGGCUAAUACCUGGGGCUCAUGACAGUACCGUAAGAAUAAGCACCGGCUAACUACGUG
rnacentral:rRNA from 1 species